UCUAUUAGUGAAGAGGAGCUGAUCAAUUUUAUAUUAGAUGGUUUAAGUUUUGAUUAUGAUCCUGCUGUUGCUUAUAUAAUGUCCGAGUUACUCACCCCUAGUGAGACAAUCUCUUUGACUGAAA